AGAAAAUUUCAAUUUAACUAAUUUCUUCUAAUAUUAGCAUAACUUUAUACUAUCACAUUUAACCAAGUACCUCAAGGGAAAAAUGAAAUAAAAUGAAACAAAGAAAACAAAAAAAGAAGAAAAACGUACCUUUUGUAUUAUGGCUUAACAAGAAAAUAAGGAACAAUAUUCUAUACCCGAAAUCUAGAGAGCUAACCUCGACCUCUCCUUAUUAGGGAGAACUAAUUAUUGCUGUUGCAAGAGCAAUAAAAGAGUUAAGGUUAGAAAUGAAAUGUUUACCGAACUAGAUGAUACCUGGUUUUUAAGGAAAAAAGUAUAAGCUUUUCCUUCCUAUAAUACACAAUUAAACUCUGAUUAUAUUUAUAUCCUAUUUUAGGAAAGGAAAGAAAAAAGGAGAUAAGUUCUUUUUUCAAAAUGGAAACAACCAACAAAGAAGGAAAGAGCAUAAUAAUCAAUAGCAAAGGUAAAACCUCAAGUAGGCCUAAAAGCGGUCACCCUCAAAAAAGCGUUAAAGCUUAAUUAACCAUUACCUAAAAAUUACUGAAUUCCCCUCUUACCUCUUUUUAGAUACUUAAAGAAAUUCAUAAUGUUAAGACAAGUAAAAUAUUUUCAUAUUAUAUUUAAUCAUUAUACCUUUAUAAACCAAAAACCAAGAAAAUUUCUAAAUCCGAGAAAGAAAUCAAUCUAAAAGUUUUUCCAACAACAGGAGAUUUUAUAAUAAGGAAAAAAUAGAGAAAAGGAACUAGGCAAAAAAAGAGGGUGACUGUUUACCAAAAACAUAGCUCUUCGCUUACAUGAAGGGUGCCGCCUGCCCAGUGGAAUAUUCUUAACGGCCGCGGUAUCUUGACCGUGCAAAGGUAGCAUAAUCACUUGUCUCUUAAAUGGGGACCAGUAUGAAUGGCACCACACCCCCUAACUGUCUCUUUUCUAACCCUUCUAAACUUCUAUUCAUGUGAAGAAACAUGAAUAAAAAAGAUAGACGAGAAGACCCUGUCGAGCUUCAGCUUAUAUUAAAUAUCUAGCUUUCUUCACUUUCCAAGAAUAUGAUUAAUUUAAUCAAAGCUUUGGUUGGGGCAACCAUGGAGAAAAAGAAUCCUCCAGUUUAAUAAGAAGAUCCCAAAUCACUUAUAAAAAUUUUUUAAGAGAACCAGCACCCCUGGAAAACGGAAAAAGUUACCGCAGGGAUAACAGCGUUAUCUUCUCUAAGAGUCCUCAUUGACGAGAAGGUUUGCGACCUCGAUGUUGGAUUGGGGUAACCUAAAGGUGCAGCAGCUUUUUUUGGUUGGACUGUUCGUCCAUUAAAUCCCUACAUGAUCUGAGUUCAGACCGACGUAAGUCAGGUCAGCUUCUAUCUUCUACAAUUUAUCUUUUAGUACGAAAGGACCAAAGAUAAGCCUUCAAUAAUUUUCAUAAAAAGGCAAAAUUAUUUUAAAAAUUUAAAAAAAAACAAAUAAAGCACUAAAACCUGAUGUAACAAAAUCUCCUUCAUUUUUCUAUUUCAUCUAAUUCUACAUACAAAAAAAAUUUUUAAAAAAAAAUACAAUACUACCCCCUUAUCAUUUUUAAGAAAC
rnacentral:rRNA from 1 species